rnacentral:rRNA from 1 species
AAAUUGACGGGGACCCGCACAAGCGGUGGAUGAUGUGGAUUAAUUCGAUGCAACGCGAAAACCUUACUACCCUUGACAUGUCCGGAACUUGCCAGAGAUGGCUUGGUGCCCGAAAGGGAAUCGGAACACAGGUGCUGCAUGGCUGUCGUCAGCUCGUGUCGUGAGAUGUUGGGUUAAGUCCCGCAACGAGCGCAACCCUUAUCAUUAGUUGCUACGCAAGGGCACUCUAAUGAGACUGCCGGUGACAAACCGGAGGAAGGUGGGGAUGACGUCAAGUCCUCAUGGCCCUUAUGGGUAGGGCUUCACACGUCAUACAAUGGUCGGUACAGAGGGUUGCCAAGCCGCGAGGCGGAGCCAAUCCCACAAAGCCGAUCGUAGUCCGGAUUGUUCUCUGCAACUCGAGAGCAUGAAGUCGGAAUCGCUAGUAAUCGCAGGUCAGCAUACUGCGGUGAAUACGUUCCCGGGUCUU